AAUAGAUACCCAGGUAGUCCACGCCGUAAAACGAUGUCGACUUGGAGGUUGUGCCCUUGAGGCGUGGCUUCCGGAGCUAACGCGUUAAGUCGACCGCCUGGGGAGUACGGCCGCAAGGUUAAAACUCAAAUGAAUUGACGGGGGCCCGCACAAGCGGUGGAGCAUGUGGUUUAAUUCGAUGCAACGCGAAGAACCUUACCUACUCUUGACAUCCAGAGAACUUAGCAGAGAUGCUUUGGUGCCUUCGGGAACUCUGAGACAGGUGCUGCAUGGCUGUCGUCAGCUCGUGUUGUGAAAUGUUGGGUUAAGUCCCGCAACGAGCGCAACCCUUAUCCUUUGUUGCCAGCGAUUCGGUCGGGAACUCAAAGGAGACUGCCAGUGAUAAACUGGAGGAAGGUGGGGAUGACGUCAAGUCAUCAUGGCCCUUACGAGUAGGGCUACACACGUGCUACAAUGGCAUAUACAAAGAGAAGCGACCUCGCGAGAGCAAGCGGACCUCAUAAAGUAUGUCGUAGUCCGGAUUGG
rnacentral:rRNA from 1 species